GAGGUGGGGACCUUCCCUUUGAAGGAGCCAGGAGCUGUGGCUGAGAUGCACCUUAUGCUUGGCUGGUAUAUCACUCAGACCAUAUCUGCAUUCUCUGGUUGAUUUCUCAAAUAAGCACGGCCUCUGCAGUGGCCCAGCCUUGCAUGGGAAAUACCCUUUGUGCCUUGAAAUGGGGAAGACUAGAAACGUUGUUUGACAGAGAAGCCACAUAACAGAAGUUGUAUGAAGUUUGAAUAUUCGAUAACGAAGUCAGCAUGGAUGCAGUCACUGAGUUCCCAAAGGGGAGGGACAGACCAUCUAUAUAAGUAGUUAAAACGUGCAAGAGGCUGCGUUGGAGAUUGGGAAACAUGUGACUCAUUAUUGGCGCUGAAUCAGAUCCAUCCCUGAUGCGGCCCGGCUGGAGCUCCAUGGGGAUUACACCAGGAAUUCAUCUGAUCUGAUGUAUCCAGCGUGUGGAAAUGGACAAAAGUGCGGGAUUAACAGUUUAGCAUGGCUCCCAUUCCAGUGAAUGCACUUGCUGGGUGUGUACCCGGAGACUCCAUCUGGGGCCCUUGGGAUCCGCAGUGAGCAUUACUACCAGGUUGUCGGGGGCACGUGACUACGCCACACGUCUCCUCUGGGCUGAGGAGCAGGAGCACCAGGGCAGUGGCCCUGCAUGAAGAUGAAGAAUCUCUUAGUAUUUGCUGUGCUAUUUGCUUAUGGCGCAGUUAUGACACAGGGGAGUCUCUGGGAGCUUCAAAAGAUGAUUAAGCAAGUCACUGGGAAAUCUGCCUUAUGGAAUUAUUCCAACUACGGCUGCCACUGCGGAUCGGGUGGCAAAGGGACGCCAACGGAU